UGGGGAAUAUUGGACAAUGGGCGAAAGCCUGAUCCAGCCAUGCCGCGUGAGUGAUGAAGGCCCUAGGGUUGUAAAGCUCUUUCAACGGUGAAGAUAAUGACGGUAACCGUAGAAGAAGCCCCGGCUAACUUCGUGCCAGCAGCCGCGGUAAUACGAAGGGGGCUAGCGUUGUUCGGAAUUACUGGGCGUAAAGCGCACGUAGGCGGACAUUUAAGUCAGGGGUGAAAUCCCGGGGCUCAACCCCGGAACUGCCUUUGAUACUGGGUGUCUCGAGUCCGGAAGAGGUGAGUGGAAUUCCGAGUGUAGAGGUGAAAUUCGUAGAUAUUCGGAGGAACACCAGUGGCGAAGGCGGCUCACUGGUCCGGUACUGACGCUGAGGUGCGAAAGCGUGGGGAGCAAAC
rnacentral:rRNA from 1 species